rnacentral:sRNA from 1 species
CUUAAAACAUCACUUUCAUUCUUCUUAUCUUGAGCAUUCAAACCAUGACCGCCACCCUCCUAAUCCUUGUUGCCUCGGCUGUGCUUGAGUCUGUUUCCAUUGUGGUGCGUGUGUCUGUUGUGCUUGUGUCUGUGGUUGCGUGUGUGGUGCUCGCCUCCUUGGUGCUUGCCUCCUCUGUGUUUGUGGUGCGUGUGUCUGCGGUGGUUGCAUAUGCGAUGACUGAGAGGCCUGUGAUCCUUGCGAGGCUUGAGAUCCGUCCCAUGUUUGUCUUUGGCCAAACAUGAUAUUCCUUGGUUCCUGAUUCAAAGAGAAUUAGACUAUGUAAAAGAAAGUAUGAAGCAUCAUUAUAUUAGGGGUUGCCUGAUUUUAUAGUCAUAAACUAAUUGCAUUCUCAGCUUUUCCCCUUAUACUUUUUGCUCAUGAAAUUUUCACCAUAAACUUUGAUAAUUCUUUAAAUUACAACAUGUACUUUCGGAUUCAUCCUUAAAAAUACAUUUCCAAUUGAACCGGUCAUUAAACCGGGAUUAACUACAAAUCCGCGUUUACUGUACCGCGAUUGCGAUUUAUUUGAUUAAUCUCCUAUAUCCGUUAAGAAAAGGGUUGACUAAUUUUAUAGCCAUAAACUAAUUGCAUUCUCAGCUUUUCCCUCCACACUUUUUGCUCCUGAAAUUUUCACCAUAAACUUUGAUAAUUCUUUAAAUUGCAACAUGUACUUUCAGAUUCAUCCUUAAAAAAUUCGUUUCCAAUUGAACCGGUCAUUAAACCGAAAUUAACCACAAAUCCGCGUUUACUGUGCCGCUAUUGUGAUUUACCCAACUAAUCACCCACACCGUUAAGAAAACAACGUUGUUUUGUAAGCCUACAAUGGAGCUUCAAGAAACACCACAUGGAGCCGAUAGAGUCACACUCACACGGAGAAGCAGUCUAUGUGAUCAAUGAGAGUAGUUAU